rnacentral:rRNA from 1 species
UCCGUAGGCGGGCGUCUAAGUCAGUGGUGAAAUCUUACAGCUCAACUGUAAAAUUGCCAUUGAUACUGGAUGUCUUGAAUUAGUGUGAAGUGGUUAGAAUGUGUAGUAUAGCGGUGAAAUGCAUAGAUAUUACACAGAAUACCAAUUGCGAAGGCAGAUCACUAACACUAUAUUGACGCUGAGGGACGAAAGCGUGGGUAGCGAACAGGAUUAGAUACCCUGGUAGUCC